rnacentral:lncRNA from 1 species
AUGCCCUCUGACCUGGCCAGGAAGAAGGCAGCCAAGAAGAAGAAAGCUGCCAAAGUUCCAUUUCAGCCCAGUAGGAAACAUGAAGAAAAUGGUGAUGCUGUCAUAGAACCUCAGGUGGCAGAGGAGAAAAAAAUAAGGAGACCAAUGGCAGAAAGCCUGAAGGUAAUAGAGAAUUGGAUUUGGUGACCAAGGAGCUAGAGGAUUUGAAAUGAAGAAAGCUGCUUCUCGAUCUGUCAUGGGCAUCCUAGCCUCACACCCCAACAAUACCGACAUCCACAUUAUCAACCUCUCACUCAGCUUUCAUGGUCAAGAGCUGCUCAGUGAAAACAAACUGCAAUUAAACUAAGGCCGGCAUUAUAGCCUCAUUAGAUUAGAUGGAAUUGGAAAAUCCAUGCUGCUGUAUGCUAUGGGGAAACUUGAAGUGCUCAUGCCUGAGCACAUGGGUACCUACCAUCUGACCCAUGAGAUG